rnacentral:sRNA from 1 species
AGGCUGAGCAGUACUUUUGAGAGCGGUGUGAGGUGCUCGGUAGCGCGCCGUAGCUGCUUCUACGUCCUUGCUUCACCUCAGGUAAAGAGAGAAGUAAUGGAAAGCCUGUCUGAUGUUGCUGCUUUUGCAACUAAACUUAAAAACACUCUCAUCCAGUACCAUAGCAUUGAAGAAGAUAAGUGGCGAGUUGCUAAGAAAACGAAAGAUGUAACUGUUUGGAGAAAACCCUCAGAAGAAUUUAAUGGAUAUCUAUUCUUAAAGGGAUAUGUGAUCAAAAGAGAAUUGCUGUGUGAUGCGUUACACUACUGCUGGUCAGCUUUGGAAUAUAAUUUCACCAAGAGAAUUUGUUGAUUUCUCCUAUACUGUGGGCUAUAAAGAAGGGCUUUUAUCUUGUGGUAAUAAUCUCAACAUGUUAUGCUUUUUUUCAGUAUGGUUUAAAUAUUUGUGUUCUCUCGGCUGGAUGUUUCUUUCCUUGUGAGAUAUAUUUUCAACUCUGACUCUGUAAUCACUAACAUUUUUUGCAAAUGCUAAACUCUAGGGAGUAAAAUAACAAUAUCAAAAGAGUUUUGAAACCUUUCUGAUUAGUUUUUGUUCCCAGUUACACAGUAUCCUCUAGGUCAGAGGUAGCAAAUGGGGAUCACAUGACUGCCUCUAAGAAAGGGUUCUAGUAAAUGGAUUUUCUUCUAAGCCACUCUCAGAAAACAGUUUCUUGGUCAUACACAUAGAAAUACUAGAUUUUGUAUGUUUUAGAAUAUUCUUCCUUCCU